GAUGAACGCUGGCGGCGUGCCUAAUACAUGCAAGUCGAGCGAACAGACGAGGAGCUUGCUCCUCUGACGUUAGCGGCGGACGGGUGAGUAACACGUGGAUAACCUACCUAUAAGACUGGGAUAACUUCGGGAAACCGGAGCCAAUACCGGAUAAUAUAUUGAACCGCAUGGUUCAAUAGUGAAAGACGGUUUUGCUGUCACUUAUAGAUGGAUCCGCGCCGCAUUAGCUAGUUGGUAAGGUAACGGCUUACCAAGGCAACGAUGCGUAGCCGACCUGAGAGGGUGAUAGGCCACACUGGAACUGAGACACGGUCCAGACUCCUACGGGAGGCAGCAGUAGGGAAUCUUCCGCAAUGGGCGAAAGCCUGACGGAGCAACGCCGCGUGAGUGAUGAAGGUCUUCGGAUCGUAAAACUCUGUUAUUAGGGAAGAACAAAUGUGUAAGUAACUAUGCACGUCUUGACGGUACCUAAUCAGAAAGCCACGGCUAACUACGUG
rnacentral:rRNA from 1 species